rnacentral:rRNA from 1 species
AUACGUAGGUGGCAAGCGUUGUCCGGAAUUAUUGGGCGUAAAGCGCGCGCAGGUGGUUCCUUAAGUCUGAUGUGAAAGCCCCCGGCUCAACCGGGGAGGGUCAUUGGAAACUGGGGAACUUGAGUGCAGAAGAGGAUAGUGGAAUUCCAAGUGUAGCGGUGAAAUGCGUAGAGAUUUGGAGGAACACCAGUGGCGAAGGCGAAUGUCUGGUCUUUAACUGACACGGAGGCGCGAAAGCGUGGGGAGCAAACAGUAUUAGAUACCCUGGUAGUCCACGCUGUAAACGAUGAGUGCUAAGUGUUGGGGGGUUUCCGCCCCUCAGUGCUGCAGCUAACGCAUUAAGCACUCCGCCUGGGGAGUACGGUCGCAAGACUGAAACUCAAAUGAAUUGACGGGG